rnacentral:misc_RNA from 1 species
GCGUAAGCAAGGGAAAGAGCGAAUCCAUGGCGAUGGCGAGCUUGGCGAGGCGGAGGGUCGGCGAUCUCAUCCGUCCCCUGCGGUGCACCGCAGCUUUCUACCGCGGUUUCGCGGCGGCGGCGGAGGAGAACGACGUGGUGGUGAUCGGCGGUGGGCCCGGUGGGUACGUGGCGGCGAUCAAGGCGGCGCAGCUGGGGCUCAAGACAACGUGCAUCGAGAAGCGGGGAACGCUCGGGGGGACUUGCCUCAACGUCGGAUGCAUUCCGUCGAAGGCUCUCCUCCACUCCUCUCACAUGUACCACGAAGCUAAACAUGCAUUUGCAAGUCACGGCGUCAAGUUCUCAAACCUUGAAAUCGAUCUACCUGCUAUGUUGGCACAAAAAGAUAAAGCAGUCUCUGGACUCACCAAAGGAAUCGAGGGACUCUUCAAGAAAAACAAAGUAACCUAUGUAAAAGGUGCUGGCAAGUUCGUCUCUCCCUCCGAGAUUUCCGUCGAUACCAUUGAUGGUGGGAACACUGUUGUCAAAGGCAAAAACAUCAUUAUCGCCACUGGUUCUGAAGUCAAAUCCUUGCCUGGAAUCACCAUAGAUGAGAAGAAGAUCGUUUCCUCGACUGGAGCUCUGUGCUUACAAGAAAUCCCUAAGAAACUCGUGGUGAUUGGCGCUGGCUACAUCGGCCUGGAGAUGGGAUCAGUAUGGGGACGUCUCGGUUCAGAAGUGACUGUUGUCGAGUUUGGACCUGAUAUUGUCCCCACCAUGGACGGUGAGGUUCGGAAGCAUUUCCAGCGCAUGCUCGAGAAACAGAAGAUGAAAUUUGUGCUCAAGACAAAGGUGGUCGGAGUCGAUGCCUCUGGUGAUGGUGUGAAACUAACCAUCGAACCUGCCGCUGGUGGCGAGCAGACAACAAUCGAAGCUGAUGUCGUUCUCGUCUCAGCAGGUAGAGUGCCACACACGUCAGGACUGUCUCUGGAGACUAUUGGUAUUGAGACUGACAAAAUAGGCAGAAUCACUGUAGACAAGCGAUUCACAACAAGCGUGCCAGGAGUAUUUGCGAUUGGAGAUGUGAUACCGGGACCCAUGCUGGCCCAUAAGGCUGAGGAGGA